rnacentral:rRNA from 1 species
AUACGGAGGAUCCGAGCGUUAUCCGGAUUUAUUGGGUUUAAAGGGAGCGUAGGCGGAGGAUCAAGUCAGCUGUGAAAUGUAGACGCUCAACGUCUGCACUGCAGUUGAAACUGGUCCCCUUGAGUGCGUAAGGGGCAGGCGGAAUUCGUCGUGUAGCGGUGAAAUGCUUAGAUAUGACGAAGAACUCCGAUCGCGAAGGCAGCUUGCCGGGCCGCAACUGACGCUGAAGCUCGAAGGUGCGGGUAUCGAACAGGAUUAGAUACCCUGGUAGUCCGCACAGUAAACGAUGGAUACUCGCUGUCGGCGAUAUACGGUCGGUGGCCAAGCGAAAGCGUUAAGUAUCCCACCUGGGGAGUACGCCGGCAACGGUGAAACUCAAAGGAAUCGACGGGG